UACGUAGGUGACAAGCGUUGUCCGGAUUUACUGGGCGUAAAGAGCGCGCAGGCGGUCGUUCAAGUCGAGUGUGAAAGCCCCCGGCUCAACUGGGGAGGGUCAUUCGAUACUGAUCGACUCGAAGGCAGGAGAGGGAAGUGGAAUUCCCGGUGUAGUGGUGAAAUGCGUAGAUAUCGGGAGGAACACCUGUGGCGAAGGCGGCCGCCUGGUUGGAUACUGACGCUGAGACGCGAAAGCGUGGGGAGCAAACAGG
rnacentral:rRNA from 1 species